rnacentral:rRNA from 1 species
CAGCUCAUUUACCCUGAUUCUAAAUAUAUGUUUGAAUCAUUGCGUAGGGUUGGUGUAAGAACAAUUUUAUUGUCCAACUUUAAAACCCAUCUCUGGACACUUUUAGAGGCCCUAAAAUGUGAUCAUUGGUUUAAUGUAGUUGUUGUAUCUGCUGAGGUGGGUACCCAUUCAUACAGUAGUUAA